AGGGAAGUGAUGACACCUUUGUUGUGUGACACUGAUUUCUCUCGUAUUUGUGCUGGCUGAUCCUG